rnacentral:rRNA from 1 species
UACGUAGGGGGCGAGCGUUGUCCGGAUUUAUUGGGCGUAAAACGCUUGUAGGCGGCCACAUCGCGUCGGACGUGAAAUCUCCCGGCUCAACUGGGAGGGGUCGUGCGAUACGGAUGGGCUCGAGGCCGGUAGGGGGACGCGGAAUUCCCGGUGUAGUGGUGGAAUGCGUAGAUAUCUGGAGGAACACCGGUGGCGAAGGCGACGUCCUGGACCGGCAUUGACGCUGAGGCGCGAAAGCCAGGGGAGCAAACGGG